UUAAGCUACUAAGAGCACACGGAGGAUGCCUAGGCGCUAGGAGCCGAUGAAGGACGUGGCGAACGACGAAAUGGCCUCGGGGAGCUGUAAGCAAGCUUUGAUCCGGGGAUGUCCGAAUGGGGAAACCCGGCUGGAAUAAUAUCCAGUCACCGCUGCCUGAACACAUAGGGCAGAGGGAGGCAUACCAGGGGAACUGAAACAUCUAAGUACCCUGAGGAAGAGAAAACAAGAGUGAUUCCGUCAGUAGCGGCGAGCGAACGCGGAACAGCCUAAACCAAGGGGCUUGCCCCUUGGGGUUGUGGGACGUCUCACACGGAGUUACAAAGGAAAGUUAUAGGCGAAGAGGUCUGGAAAGGCCCGCUACAAGAGGUAAAAGCCCUGUAACCCAAAUAGCUUUCCCUCCGAGACGGAUCCCGAGUAGUGCGGGGCACGUGAAACCCCGUAUGAAUCUGCCAGGACCAUCUGGUAAGGCUAAAUACUCCCUAGCGACCGAUAGUGAAGCAGUACCGUGAGGGAAAGGUGAAAAGCACCCCGGGAGGGGAGUGAAAUAGAACCUGAAACCGUGUGCUUACAAGAAGUCAGAGCCCGAUUCAUAAGGGUGAUGGCGUGCCUUUUGUAGAAUGAACCGGCGAGUUACGUUCCCAAGCAAGGUUAAGGUGAGAAGCCGUAGCCGCAGCGAAAGCGAGUCUGAAUAGGGCGAUUUUAGUUUGUGGACGUAGACCCGAAACCGGGUGAUCUACCCCUGUCCAGGGUGAAGGUGCGGUAACACGCACUGGAGGCCCGAACCCACGUACGUUGAAAAGUGCGGGGAUGAGGUGGGGGUAGCGGAGAAAUUCCAAUCGAACUCGGAGAUAGCUGGUUCUCCCCGAAAUAGCUUUAGGGCUAGCCUCGGAAAUUGACAGUCGUGGAGGUAGAGCACUGAUUGGGUGCGGGGCCCGCAAGGGUUACCAAGCUCAGUCAAACUCCGAAUGCCAUAGACUGAUUAUCCGGGAGUCAGACAGUGAGUGCUAAGAUCCAUUGUCAAAAGGGAAACAGCCCAGACCAUCAGCUAAGGUCCCCAAGUGUGUGUUAAGUGGGAAAGGAUGUGGAGUUGCACAGACAACCAGGAUGUUGGCUUAGAAGCAGCCACCAUUUAAAGAGUGCGUAAUAGCUCACUGGUCGAGUGACUCUGCGCCGAAAAUGUAACGGGGCUAAACACACCACCGAAGCUAUGGCUUGAAUCGACUUCACUGCUUCUUUGAGGCUGGUGAAGACCUGGAUGAAACAUUUUUGUCAGACUUGAGAUGAAAUCAAGGAUGACCAAAUGCACCCAGGGGACAAACACACUUCGAAGGCGGAGUGAAGUCGAUUCAGGGGUAGGGGAGCGUUGUAUGCAGGUUGAAGGUGUACCGGAAGGAGCGCUGGACAGCAUACAAGUGAGAAUGCCGGUAUGAGUAACGAAAAGAUCAGUGAGAAUCUGAUCCGCCGAAAGCCCAAGGUUUCCUGAGGAAGGCUCGUCCGCUCAGGGUAAGUCGGGACCUAAGGCGAGGCCGAAAGGCGUAGUCGAAGGACAACAGGUUGAAAUUCCUGUACCACCGUAAACCGUUAUGAACGAUGGGGUGACGCAGGAGGGUAGUGACGCGGACUGAUGGAUGUCCGUCUAAGCAGUGAGGCUGGUGUGUAGGCAAAUCCGCACACUGUAUAAGGCUGGGCUGUGAUGGGGAGCGAAAAUUACAGUAGCGAAGGUCAUGAUCUCACACUGCCAAGAAAAGCCUCUAGUCAGGUGAAGGUGCCCGUACCGCAAACCGACACAGGUAGGCGAGAAGAGAAUUCUAAGGCGCGCGGAAGAACUCUCGUUAAGGAACUCGGCAAAAUGACCCCGUAACUUCGGGAGAAGGGGUGCCCCGGUAGUGUGAAUAGCACGAGGGGGCCGCAGUGAAAAGGCCCAAGCGACUGUUUAGCAAAAACACAGGUCUGUGCGAAGCCGUAAGGCGAAGUAUACGGGCUGACGCCUGCCCGGUGCUGGAAGGUUAAGGGGAGCGGUUAGGAGCAAUCCGAAGCUGUGAACCGAAGCCCCAGUAAACGGCGGCCGUAACUAUAACGGUCCUAAGGUAGCGAAAUUCCUUGUCAGGUAAAUUCUGACCCGCACGAAUGGCGUAACGACUUGGGCGCUGUCUCAACGAGAGAUCCGGUGAAAUUUUAAUACCUGUGAAGAUGCAGGUUACCCGCGACAAGACGGAAAGACCCCAUGGAGCUUUACUGCAGCUUGAUAUUGGAUUUGGGUACGAUCUGUACAGGAUAGGUGGGAGCCGUUGAAACAGGAGCGCCAGCUUCUGUGGAGGCGCCGUUGGGAUACCACCCUGAUCGUAUCUAGGUUCUAACUUGGUACCGUGAUCCGGUGCGAGGACAGUGUCAGGCGGGCAGUUUGACUGGGGCGGUCGCCUCCUAAAGAGUAACGGAGGCGCCCCAAGGUUCCCUCAGAAUGGUUGGAAAUCAUUCGAAGAGUGCAAAGGCAUAAGGGAGCUUGACUGCGAGACCUACACGUCGAGCAGGGACGAAAGUCGGGCUUAGUGAUCCGGUGGUACCGCAUGGAAGGGCCAUCGCUCAACGGAUAAAAGCUACCCUGGGGAUAACAGGCUUAUCUCCCCCAAGAGUCCACAUCGACGGGGAGGUUUGGCACCUCGAUGUCGGCUCAUCGCAUCCUGGGGCUGAAGUAGGUCCCAAGGGUUGGGCUGUUCGCCCAUUAAAGCGGUACGCGAGCUGGGUUCAGAACGUCGUGAGACAGUUCGGUCCCUAUCUGUCGUGGGCGUAGGAAAUUUGAGAGGAGCUGUCCUUAGUACGAGAGGACCGGGAUGGACGUACCGCUGGUGCACCAGUUGUUCCGCCAGGAGCAUGGCUGGGUAGCUACGUACGGAAGGGAUAAGCGCUGAAAGCAUCUAAGCGUGAAGCCCCCCUCAAGAUGAGAUUUCCCAGUAUGUAAGACCCCUUGAAGACCACGAGGUAGAUAGGUUGGAGGUGGAAGUGCAGCAAUGCAUGGAGCUGACCAAUACUAAUCGGUCGAGGGCUUAUCCUA
rnacentral:rRNA from 1 species